rnacentral:rRNA from 1 species
ACAAACGCUGGCGGCAUGCCUAACACAUGCAAGUCGAACGGACAGAACAGGGAAGCUUUUCGGAGUGGAACUGGAAAGUUAGUGGCGGAUGGGUGAGUAACGCGUGGACAACCUACCUUGUAAAGGGGAAUAACCUCGAGAAAUCGAAGCUAAUACCCCAUAAUAACCUUGCUUCGCAUGAAGUAAGGAGGAAAGGCGGCCUUAGCGCUGUCGAUACAAGAUGGGUCCGCGUCUGAUUAGCUAGUUGGUGAGGUAAAGGCUCACCAAGGCGACGAUCAGUAGCCGGCCUGAGAGGGUGAACGGCCACAUUGGGACUGAGACACGGCCCAAACUCCUACGGGAGGCAGCAGUGGGGAAUCUUCCGCAAUGGGCGAAAGCCUGACGGAGCAAUGCCGCGUGAGUGAAGAAGGCCUUCGGGUUGUAAAACUCUGUCCUUAUCGAAGAGAGAGUGUUGUAGUAACUGACAAUACUAGGACGGUAGAUGAGGAGGAAGCCCCGGCUAACUAUGUA